GUUUACGGCGGUUGUCAUUCUUUAUAAUAUAAUAAUUCAACUUCGCAUAAGUUCAAUACAGAUUUAUUUCACACAACAGACAGAAUACAACUAACAGUUUUACAGUGGUUUAUACAUUAUUUACAUAGAUAUCGUUUUACUGUGAUUGGUCAGUUUAUCACCAAAUAUGGUAAUGAGUCUCUGCUCCCUAUUUAUAUGCAACUCUAUAUCAUUUCAAUUAACAAACAACAAUAUGUCUUUUAUAACAACAUGAAUAUAUAAUUAUUAAUCAAUUACGUAAUGCAUAAGAGCACAACUUAAC